AAGAUACGAAAGAGUGGUUGGCAUAUUAGACAAGGUUAAAUUGUAGUGUAUUAUGUUUAAAUUCUACGAGUAGUUCUCGAAAAGAUAUCAUUUAUAACAUAACAAUUGCAUUUCUUAUAAGUUUACUUAUUACUAAACCACAGUACUUUGAAUUUUACUUAGCCAUAGCAGCUAUGAUGAUUUAAUGCUCAAAUAUUCCCGUUGGUAAGCAUUAGAUCUAAGCCUCUUAAAAAGCCACCAAGACGGUUCCAUGGAAAUUAAACAGCAUGCUCUUAAUCAUUUAAUAUCACCACCAAGUGGCGAGGAAAGAGAUAUGCUCGCUGGUGACCCCAAUCAGCAUCUUAACUGGUUUUGCAUAACUUAUGUCCGUCCAGCGGCAACGACAACUUUCUGCGCGCGUUUCGGCGAUGAGAACGAGAAUUCAAACAGAAAAUCAGCGGAUAAUUAAGUGGUUUGGGCCAACUGAGAUGGGAUUUAAGAUGUGACUGUGACGCUUUCGUUUUCCUCCGAAUGCGAAGAGUUUUCCCGCUAAAAUGGGAAAGUUGCGCGCGAAACUUGGACUCGGACUUGCCUCGAAGUCAGCUUGAUUGACAGCUUUCAUUUAAAAUCAAAUCGUCUAAAAUAUGCACUCGCACACCACA